GCGAGUAUGGCCCUCACGGGUCUAAUCCACCACAAACACCUUUGUGAACCAGUCAGGGGGACUCGGCCGUGAAAGCCCAGGCGAUUAGCGGUAAGGGCCCUCCUUUGCAAACCCGUUUAGAAGUCUUGAAAGUACUUUUGUAUAAUCUAGUA
rnacentral:misc_RNA from 1 species